CUACGGGGCGCUGCAGUGAGGAAUUUUGCGCAAUGGGCGAAAGCCUGACGCAGCAACGCCGCGUGAGUGAUGAAGGCUUUCGGGUCGUAAAGCUCUGUCAAGUGGGAAGAACCUGUAAAGUGCCAAUACCACUUUGCACUGACGGUACCACUGAAGGAAGCACCGGCUAACUCCGUGCCAGCAGCCGCGGUAAUACGGGGGGUGCAAGCGUUACUCGGAAUCAUUGGGCGUAAAGGGCGCGCAGGCGGCCCAGUAAGUCAGAUGUGAAAGCCCGGGGCUCAACCCCGGAAGUGCCAUUUGAUACUGUUGGGCUUGAGUAUGGGAGAGGAAAGUGGAAUUCCUGGUGUAGAGGUGAAAUUCGUAGAUAUCAGGAGGAACACCUGUGGCGAAGGCGACUUUCUGGACCAAUACUGACGCUGAGGCGCGAAGGCGUGGGUAGCAAACAGGAUUAGAUACCCUAGUAGUC
rnacentral:rRNA from 1 species